rnacentral:rRNA from 1 species
AGGUAGUUGGUGGGGUAACGGCCUACCAAGCCGACGAUCCAUAGCCGACCUGAGAGGGUGACCGGCCACAUUGGGACUGAGACACGGCCCAAACUCCUACGGGAGGCAGCAGUGGGGAAUAUUGCACAAUGGGGGAAACCCUGAUGCAGCGACGCCGCGUGAGCGAAGAAGUAUUUCGGUAUGUAAAGCUCUAUCAGCAGGGAAGAAAAUGACGGUACCUGACUAAGAAGCCCCGGCUAACUACGUGCCAGCAGCCGCGGUAAUACGUAGGGGGCAAGCGUUAUCCGGAUUUACUGGGUGUAAAGGGAGCGUAGACGGCUUUGCAAGUCUGAUGUGAAAGGCGGGGGCUCAACCCCUGGACUGCAUUGGAAACUGUGAGGCUUGAGUGCCGGAGAGGUAAGCGGAAUUCCUAGUGUAGCGGUGAAAUGCGUAGAUAUUAGGAGGAACACCAGUGGCGAAGGCGGCUUACUGGACGGUAACUGACGUUGAGGCUCGAAAGCGUGGGGAGCAAACAGGAUCAGAUACCCUGGUAGUCCACGCGGUAAACGAUGAAUACUAGGUGUUGGGUGUCACAGACAUUCGGUGCCGCAGCAAACGCAAUAAGUAUUCCACCUGGGGAGUACGUUCGCAAGAAUGAAACUCAAAGGAAUUGACGGGGACCCGCACAAGCGGUGGAGCAUGUGGUUUAAUUCGAAGCAACGCGAAGAACCUUACCAAGUCUUGACAUCUCCCUGACAGAGUAUGUAAUGUACUUUUCCUUCGGGACAGGGAUGACAGGUGGUGCAUGGUUGUCGUCAGCUCGUGUCGUGAGAUGUUGGGUUAAGUCCCGCAACGAGCGCAACCCUUAUCCUCAGUAGCCAGCGGUUCGGCCGGGCACUCUGUGGAGACUGCCAGGGAUAACUUGGAGGAAGGUGGGGAUGACGUCAAAUCAUCAUGCCCCUUAUGACUUGGGCUACACACGUGCUACAAUGGCGUAAACAAAGGGAAGCGAGAGAGUGAUCUGGAGCAAAUCCCAAAAAUAACGUCCCAGUUCGGAUUGUAGUCUGCAACUCGACUACAUGAAGCUGGAAUCGCUAGUAAUCGCGAAUCAGAAUGUCGCGGUGAAUACGUUCCCGGGUCUUGUACACACCGCCCGUCACACCAUGGGAGUCGGUAACGCCCGAAGUCAGUGACCCAACCGUAAGGAGGGAGCUGCCGAAGGCGGGACUGGUAACUGGGGUGAAGUCGUAACAAGGUAACCGUACUAGUACGAGGGUUCA